rnacentral:rRNA from 1 species
UGGGGAAUCUUGCGCAAUGGGCGAAAGCCUGACGCAGCCAUGCCGCGUGAAUGACGAAGGUCUUAGGAUUGUAAAAUUCUUUCACCGGGGACGAUAAUGACGGUACCCGGAGAAGAAGCCCCGGCUAACUACGUGC